AUGCAGUCGAGCGGAUGACAAGAGCUUGCUCCUGGAUUCAGCGGCGGACGGGUGAGUAAUGCCUAGGAAUCUGCCUGGUAGUGGGGGACAACGUUUCGAAAGGAACGCUAAUACCGCAUACGUCCUACGGGAGAAAGCAGGGGACCUUCGGGCCUUGCGCUAUCAGAUGAGCCUAGGUCGGAUUAGCUAGUUGGUGAGGUAAUGGCUCACCAAGGCUACGAUCCGUAACUGGUCUGAGAGGAUGAUCAGUCACACUGGAACUGAGACACGGUCCAGACUCCUACGGGAGGCAGCAGUGGGGAAUAUUGGACAAUGGGCGAAAGCCUGAUCCAGCCAUGCCGCGUGUGUGAAGAAGGUCUUCGGAUUGUAAAGCACUUUAAGUUGGGAGGAAGGGCAUUAACCUAAUACCUUGCUGUUUUGACGUUACCGACAGAAUAAGCACCGGCUAACUCUGUGCCAGCAGCCGCGGUAAUACAGAGGGUGCAAGCGUUAAUCGGAAUUACUGGGCGUAAAGCGCGCGUAGGUGGUUCGUUAAGUUGGAUGUGAAAUCCCCGGGCUCAACCUGGGAACUGCAUCCAAAACUGACGAGCUAGAGUAUGGCAGAGGGUGGUGGAAUUUCCUGUGUAGCGGUGAAAUGCGUAGAUAUAGGAAGGAACACCAGUGGCGAAGGCGACCACCUGGACU
rnacentral:rRNA from 1 species